rnacentral:rRNA from 1 species
UACGAAGGGGGCUAGCGUUGUUCGGAUUUACUGGGCGUAAAGCGCACGUAGGCGGAUUGUUAAGUCAGGGGUGAAAUCCUGGAGCUCAACUCCAGAACUGCCUUUGAUACUGGCAAUCUCGAGUCCGGAAGAGGUGAGUGGAACUCCUAGUGUAGAGGUGGAAUUCGUAGAUAUAGGAAGAACACCAGUGGCGAAGGCGGCUCACUGGUCCGGUACUGACGCUGAGGUGCGAAAGCGUGGGGAGCAAACAGGAUUAGAAACCCCCGUAGUCC